CUUGCUUCUCUUGAGAGCGGCGGACGGGUGAGUAAUGCCUAGGAAUCUGCCUGGUAGUGGGGGAUAACGUCCGGAAACGGACGCUAAUACCGCAUACGUCCUACGGGAGAAAGCAGGGGACCUUCGGGCCUUGCGCUAUCAGAUGAGCCUAGGUCGGAUUAGCUAGUUGGUGGGGUAAUGGCUCACCAAGGCGACGAUCCGUAACUGGUCUGAGAGGAUGAUCAGUCACACUGGAACUGAGACACGGUCCAGACUCCUACGGGAGGCAGCAGUGGGGAAUAUUGGACAAUGGGCGAAAGCCUGAUCCAGCCAUGCCGCGUGUGUGAAGAAGGUCUUCGGAUUGUAAAGCACUUUAAGUUGGGAGGAAGGGCAGUAAAUUAAUACUUUGCUGUUUUGACGUUACCGACAGAAUAAAGCACCGGCUAACUCUGUGCCAGCAGCCGCGGUAAUACAGAGGGUGCAAGCGUUAAUCGGAAUUACUGGGCGUAAAGCGCGCGUAGGUGGUUCGUUUAAGUUGGAUGUGAAAUCCCCGGGCUCAACCUGGGAACUGCAUUCAAAACUGACGAGCUAGAGUAUGGUAGAGGGUGGUGGGAAUUUCCUGUGUAGCGGUGAAAAUGCGU
rnacentral:rRNA from 1 species